rnacentral:rRNA from 1 species
AACGAACGCUGGCGGUAUGCCUAACACAUGCAAGUCGCACGAGAAAGUACUUCGGUAUGAGUAGAGUGGCGCACGGGUGAGUAACACGUAGGUGACCUUCCGAAUAGUGGGGGAUAACUCGGAGAAAUCCGGGCUAAUACCGCAUAUGUACGACAAAUCUGAGAGUAGUCGUAGAAAGAAUGCCUCUACUUGUAAGCAUUCGCUAAUCGAUGGGCCUGCGGAGCAUUAGCUUGUUGGUGGGGUAAUGGCCUACCAAGGCUACGAUGCUUAACGGAUCUGAGAGGAUGAUCCGUCACACUGGAACUGAGACACGGUCCAGACUCCUACGGGAGGCAGCAGUGGGGAAUAUUGCGCAAUGGACGCAAGUCUGACGCAGCAAUACCGCGUGAGUGAGGAAGGCCUCGG